UUUUUUGUGAUCUCUUCAAUAACCUGUUCCUAAACAUAAAUAAUGAUGACAUGUAUAGUUCAUAUAUAUAAAUAGAAAUUUCAAUAGUAUUAAAAACUAAUAUACAUAUGAAUGAAAAUAAUUUACUUACCAACGUGCCUUCAAGAUUCUUAUCAAAAUCAUGAUGUAAAAUUGGUGUGGAUUCAUGUGGUGAAGUAUCCUUAUCAGCUUCAUCCAAUUGUAGCUUGACAAAUUCAUAAUCUUUAACCUGUUUAUUCACGUAAAAUAUAUUAAAUAUGUAUGACGAUCAAAAUUAUUAUAACAUUUGAUUAGUUUUAUACUACAUAUGUAUAUCUGAGUGCAUAUGUAUUUAUUCAAAUACAUAAUAAAUAUAUUUUAUAUUUAUUUAACAGAUCAAAUAUAUUUAAAACAUUAAAUGAACACAAAAUUACUUACCAAUAUGCCUUUAGGAUUCUUAUUAAAACCUUCCACAGUAGUUGGAGUUGAUUAAUGUGGUGAUGUAUUCUUAUCACCUUCCUCCAUUUGAGUCUUGUCACAAUCUUUGUCUUUUUCUUGCUUCUUGUCGUUGAAAAAAUAUAAAUACAUAUCAUUAAAUAUGUAUUUAUCCAAACAUAAACACAUACUAAAUAUGUAUUUACUCUAACCUAAAUACAUAUUAAAUUUGUAUUUAGUCAAACAUAAAUACAUUUGUUUGUAUUUGUUAUAUGUAUAUAACAAAUCAACUGUAUUUAUUCAAACAUAAAUACAAACUAAAUAUGUAUUUAGUCAAACGUAAAUACAUACUAAAUAUGUAUUUAGUAAAACCUAAAUACAUAUUAAAUAUGUAUCUAUUCAAACAUAAAUACAUAUGUUGUAUAUGUAUAAAACAAAUCAAUUGUACUUAACAAUUAUUCUUUAUAAAACUAAAAAUUUUGUACCUCAUCUCAUUUAUUGAAUUUAUUAUUUGAUCACACCUUGUUGUUACUAAAUUUCGAAUGUCAUUAAAUUCUUUGCGAACCUGAAUUCAAAGAAUUGAAAUCAGAUAUGAAAGAAACAAAAAUACCAAAGUCUUAAGCAUAAAUUACCUCAUCACGAAACUUUUCAAACACUUUCUUAGAAAGAACAUCAUCUUCGUCUUCACGAUUGAAAAAAGACAUAUCAGGCGACUGAACCGGAAUGUCUUUCCUGUUUGAAGGUACUGUUUUUUUUUAUUGAAUCACCUUGAAAAUUGGUGUCUUCACAGAAGACAUCUUCACAACACGACUUGGAGGAGUUCUUUUUGGUGUAUGCUGAUCUAUACCUUUUGAUUGAUUCUUCAGCUUUUUCUUGGCAGGUGAAUUUGACGAAUCGCCCUGAUAUUAUUUUUUGCUGAUUGAAAGCUGAUGUUUAAGUGGAGGAUUCUGAAAAUCAUCAUCAGAAUCAACAUAAUCUUCUUUAUGACUUCCACCUUUAUGGAAAACCUUCUUUACUAUCUGAAAGGUUGAAAUCUCCUUUCGUGUCGGCUCAAUGUUCUUGAAAACAAC
rnacentral:lncRNA from 1 species